AGAAUCAACGCUGGCGGCGUGCCUAACACAUGCAAGUCGCACGAGAAAGGGACUUCGGUCCUGAGUACAGUGGCGCACGGGUGAGUAACACGUGAAUAAUCUACCUCCGAGUGGGGAAUAACUGAGAGAAAUCUUAGCUAAUACCGCAUAACACUUACGAGUCAAAGCAGCAAUGCGCUUGGAGAGGAGUUCGCGGCAGAUUAGUUAGUUGGCGGGGUAAUGGCCCACCAAGACGAUGAUCUGUAUCCGGCCUGAGAGGGCGCACGGACACACUGGAACUGAAACACGGUCCAGACUCCUACGGGAGGCAGCAGUGGGGAAUUUUGCGCAAUGGGGGAAACCCUGACGCAGCAACGCCGCGUGGAGGAUGAAAUCCCUUGGGAUGUAAACUCCUUUCGAUCGGGAAGAUAAUGACGGUACCGAGAGAAGAAGCCCGGCUAACUUCGUGCCAGCAGCCGC
rnacentral:rRNA from 1 species